rnacentral:rRNA from 1 species
UACGUAGGAGGCGAGCGUUGUCCGGAAUUACUGGGCGUAAAGCGUGCGUAGGUGGUGAGUUAAGUCUGUCGUGAAAGCCCCGGGCUCAACCUGGGAAUGGCGAUGGAUACUGGCUCGCUAGAGUGCGGUAGAGGAGAGUGGAAUUCCCGGUGUAGCAGUGAAAUGCGUAGAGAUCGGGAGGAACAUCAGUUGCGAAGGCGGCUCUCUGGACCAGCACUGACACUGAGGCACGAAAGCGUGGGGAGCAAACAGG